CGGCGAUGCGGGCGGUUCGCCGCCCGCGACGGCGCGAGAAGUCCGCUGAACCUUAUCAUUUAGAGGAAGGAGAANUCGUAACAAGGUU
rnacentral:rRNA from 1 species